AGAGUUUGAUCAUGGCUCAGAGUGAACGCUGGCGGCAGGCCUAAUACAUGCAAGUCGAACGGCAGCACAGCAGAGCUUGCUCUGUGGGUGGCGAGUGGCGGACGGGUGAGGAAUACGUGGGAAUCUGCCCAGUCGGUGGGGAUAACGUAGGGAAACUUACGCUAAUACCGCAUGGCGCCCGUUCGGGGGGAAAGCCGGGGACCUUCGGGCCUGGCGCGAUUGGAUGAGCCCACGUCGGAUUAGCUAGUUGGCGGGUAAAGGCCCACCAAGGCGACGAUCCGUAGCUGGUCUGAGAGGAUGAUCAGCCACACUGGAACUGAGACACGGUCCAGACUCCUACGGGAGGCAGCAGUAGGGAAUAUUGGACAAUGGGCGCAAGCCUGAUCCAGCCAUGCCGCGUGAGUGAAGAAGGCCCUCGGGUUGUAAAGCUCUUUUGUCCGGAAAGAAAAGCGCCGGGUUAAUACCCUGGUGUCCUGACGGUACCGGAAGAAUAAGCACCGGCUAACUUCGUG
rnacentral:rRNA from 1 species